rnacentral:rRNA from 1 species
AUGGGAAGACGGGACCGACCCUUUGGAGGGAAAACUGUUGUGUUUGGCGGGGACUUCAGGCAGGUGCUUCCAGUCGUCAGGAGGGGGUCCUGGGGUCAGAUAAUCGAUGCAACCCUCCGAAGUUCACAUCUCUGGAAGGGUCUGCGCCAGCUAAGGCUCGUCACCAACAUGAGGGCUCAUAAUGACACCUGGUUUGCGGAUUACUUGCUAAGGGUAGGCAAUGGUACCGAGGGAGUUGACGAUCAAGGAAACAUACGACUCCCUGAAGAUAUUUGUGUGCCGUCUACAGGCGAGGGUGACGACCUGGAGAAGCUGAUUGACCAUGUGUUUCCGAGACUAGAUGAUAACAUGUCUGAUCCGAAUUACAUGACUUCACGCGCAAUCCUCUCCACCACGAACGACAACAUCGACAAGAUAAACAUACGCAUGGUAGAG